rnacentral:rRNA from 1 species
CCUACGGGAGGCAGCAGUGAGGAAUAUUGGUCAAUGGACGCAAGUCUGAACCAGCCAUGCCGCGUGCAGGAAGACGGCUCUAUGAGUUGUAAACUGCUUUUGUACGAGGGUAAACGCAGAUACGCGUAUCUGUCUGAAAGUAUCGUACGAAUAAGGAUCGGCUAACUCCGUGCCAGCAGCCGCGGUAAUACGGAGGAUUCAAGCGUUAUCCGGAUUUAUUGGGUUUAAAGGGUGCGUAGGGGGUCGGAUAAAGUAGGGGUGAAAGCCCGAGGCUCAACUUGGGAAUUGCCUCUGAUACUGUUCGGCUAGAGAGUAGUUGCGGUAGGCGGAAUGUAUGGUGUAGCGGUGAAAUGCUUAGAGAUCAUACAGAACACCGAUUGCGAAGGCAGCUUACCAAGCUACUUCUGACGUUGAGGCACGAAAGCGUGGGGAGCAAACAGGAUUAGAUACCCGGGUAGUC